ACCUACUGUUUAAUUUUGAGGGUUCGUUUUUACGAAUGCUCAAAAUUAGCACUUUAAGCAACGGGAUUUAUCCGUUGGCGCUGUGCGUUAGCACUUUAAGCAACGGAAUUUAUUCGUUGGCGCUGUGCGUUAGCACUUUGAAAACUGCAUAUAUAUAUUUAGUGAUAUGACAUCUAAUUUGUAAUAUAUAAAGCUGAUAACUUUUUAAAAUUAUCGAAGUUGAUAGCUUCUAAUCUAUCAAACCUUUUUAACUGGUCAA
rnacentral:misc_RNA from 1 species